rnacentral:tRNA from 1 species
GCCCGGGUGGUGAAAUGGUAGACACGAGGGACUUAAAAUCCCUUAAGGGCAACCUUGUGUGGGUUCGAGUCCCACCCCGGGCA